GAUGAACGCUGGCGGCGUGCCUAAUACAUGCAAGUCGAGCGAACGGACGAGAAGCUUGCUUCUCUGAUGUUAGCGGCGGACGGGUGAGUAACACGUGGAUAACCUACCUAUAAGACUGGGAUAACUUCGGGAAACCGGAGCUAAUACCGGAUAAUAUUUUGAACCGCAUGGUUCAAAAGUGAAAGACGGUCUUGCUGUCACUUAUAGAUGGAUCCGCGCUGCAUUAGCUAGUUGGUAAGGUAACGGCUUACCAAGGCAACGAUGCAUAGCCGACCUGAGAGGGUGAUCGGCCACACUGGAACUGAGACACGGUCCAGACUCCUACGGGAGGCAGCAGUAGGGAAUCUUCCGCAAUGGGCGAAAGCCUGACGGAGCAACGCCGCGUGAGUGAUGAAGGUCUUCGGAUCGUAAAACUCUGUUAUUAGGGAAGAACAUAUGUGUAAGUAACUGUGCACAUCUUGACGGUACCUAAUCAGAAAGCCACGGCUAACUACGUACCAGCAGCCGCGGUAAUACGUAGGUGGCAAGCGUUAUCCGGAAUUAUUGGGCGUAAAGCGCGCGUAGCGGUUUUUUAGUCUGAUGUGAAAGCCCACGGCUCAACCGUGGAGGGUCAUUGGAAACUGGAAAACUUGAGUGCAGAAGAGGAAAGUGGAAUUCCAUGUGUAGCGAUGAAAUGCGCAGAGAUAUGGAGGAACACCAGUGGCGAAGGCGACUUUCUGGUCUGUAACUGACGCUGAUGUGCGAAAGCGUGGGGAUCAAACAGGAUUAGAUACCCUGGUAGUCCACGCCGUAAACGAUGAGUGCUAAGUGUUAGGGGGUUUCCGCCCCUUAGUGCUGCAGCUAACGCAUUAAGCACUCCGCCUGGGGAGUACGACCGCAAGGUUGAAACUCAAAGGAAUUGACGGGGACCCGCACAAGCGGUGGAGCAUGUGGUUUAAUUCGAAGCAACGCGAAGAACCUUACCAAAUCUUGACAUCCUUUGACAACUCUAGAGAUAGAGCCUUCCCCUUCGGGGGACAAAGUGACAGGUGGUGCAUGGUUGUCGUCAGCUCGUGUCGUGAGAUGUUGGGUUAAGUCCCGCAACGAGCGCAACCCUUAAGCUUAGUUGCCAUCAUUAAGUUGGGCACUCUAAGUUGACUGCCGGUGACAAACCGGAGGAAGGUGGGGAUGACGUCAAAUCAUCAUGCCCCUUAUGAUUUGGGCUACACACGUGCUACAAUGGACAAUACAAAGGGCAGCGAAACCGCGAGGUCAAGCAAAUCCCAUAAAGUUGUUCUCAGUUCGGAUUGUAGUCUGCAACUCGACUACAUGAAGCUGGAAUCGCUAGUAAUCGUAGAUCAGCAUGCUACGGUGAAUACGUUCCCGGGUCU
rnacentral:rRNA from 1 species